AGGACGCGAGAGGGACCCGAGGUGUGUGGGCCGUUCGUGUUCCCGUUGUUCCCCGCCGAGCCUGGGCUUACUGUUCCUUCCGGAGCUUUUCGAGUCGGCUCCCCGCUCUGUGUCCUCCCUUGGAAGGACUCAUAAGCUAGCCCGGGGCUGCUGGACGUGGAGGGUCUCAUACCGUGUAACCUCCCAGCGCAUGGAAACUUCGAGAGGGUCAGAGGGCGCGGGAGCCGGGCGAGCGCUGUUGCGGCCGCGAGGGGCGGGCGCGGCCGGGCCGACGUCACACUGGGACGUUCCAGCGCUGCCGCAUCCCCGCUGCGAGGUGUGAAAAGCCGUGCGUGGGCAAGGUUGAAAGCGUUCUUCCCCCUCCCUCGUUACCCAGUGCGGAGGGAGGCCGCCCGAAAUCCUUACUGUGGAGCCGAGCAACUAUGAUCCCUGGAAGUGAGCACACUUGUCCGACCUGAAAAGUUUGUUGCGUUGUUGGGAGGUGAAAAUAAGACAGUUGCUUUUCAGAAGUUUAAAAUUGGACAUACGACUGAAAAUUUAAGGGAAAAAAAACAUUUGAGAAUUUUUGCCAGUACCCCCAGUGACACCUCUUUUAACACCCAUUCUAAAACAGCUUAGGAGUGUCUUUGGAAUAUCUGUCCAAACAUUGGAACAAGUUUUUUUGUUGUUGUUUUUAAGUCUAGCAUAAAUCGGGUAAGGACAGAAUGAAAGAUGAAAAAAGGAAGCCUAACUUAAAAAAAAAAAAGGAAAUUGGUAGAUUAUGCCAAAUGAACAAAGUUGUAAGAGUGUUAUAAUUGGGAGUUCUAGGUUCGCAAACGAAAAAUUUUGAAGGAAUAAGGCCCUGGCGGUUUUUUGCAUUUGGAAAAGAAGGAUGUUUCAGACCCCCUUCCCCACGUCCCAGGCAGUAUUUAUGUAUUUGGAAGACAGAGGAAAAGGUGAGCAUAAAGUCUGGCCUCUCACCAAUCCUGCCCAGCCGGCUUGGCUCCCUGGCUGUUUUUAUAUUGAUCCUUAACCAAAUGAUGACAGGUUUGGAAAAAAAAUUAAACCUUGGUAAGUUACUUAUUAAUUUGGUAAUUCAAUAAAAUACCCCAGGGGAGUGGUUAAGUGGCAGCAGAUUGAAAAGUUUUAAUAGAAAUAAAUCAUUUAAGUGCAGGAUUUAUUCGAUAUAUUCUCUGAACAACACUGGUUGGUUUGCUGUAGGGGAUAUUGAAAAACCGUAAAUGGGCUCCUCCUGAGGUCUGUAUAGUAUGUGAGUGCAGACACUAACACCCUUGAAAGAAUGGUGAAAACUAAAACAGUCAACGAAUAGGUGCUGACUUGUGAGAUGGAAGUUUAGACUAAAGACGUUGUAGGAAUUUAAAAACUGGGUGAAUGGGUAAAUAGGAAAGUUUUAGGAGGGAGAAGCACUUACCAGGGCAGACUACUGAGAUGGUAAGGAGCGUGAUCUAUUUGCAGGGAAGGAAGCCUGAUCUGACUUGAGCAGAGGAGGACUGGGGAAGUAAUGUGGGUUCAGGCUAUGGAAGACCUAGGAAGUCAAGCAGAAGAAUUGGACUCUGUGUUUGGACCUGUUUUCUACUCCCAUCCCCUGACGGACCUGAGGAGGUCAUGAGAAAAUAUGGACCAGUAUGAUGCCGUAGGGAGGGAAAGAAAGCGUGGGUUAUGAAGAACAUUUUUAAAGGAGAAUCGGACAGGACUUGGUAACUGAGUAGCCCAUGGGUGAUGAGGUAGAAGGAUGCCAAAGAUGUCUCCUGGUUUUCAAACCCAAGUGCCUGAGAGAAUAAGUGUGGCAUAGGGAAGGGAGGGAAAACUGAUGUUCAGUGUUGGAUUUGACUUGAUAAUGAGGUAUUAGAAUAGAAAGUAUCAGAUAAGUAGAAAUACAGUGUUUUGUGGACCCUAAUAGGUCUCUGAUAAUAUUUUGUAAAUAUCUUUUGAUUAAUUGAGAGAUCCCUUCACCUUCUGGGUCCCAAACCUUUUAGGAAAUCACUGGAUGGUAGCCACACAUACUGACUUCUUUUUGUCCAAAUUAGUAUUUACUACCAUGCAGAGUUACCAUGACUUUGUAACAUACUCAGACUAAUUUUAUAUUUUUCCAAUGACUUCACAAAUGAUAUUUUAAAAUUUAGGGUAGUGAACUUUGUUGCCUUCUUAAUAUGAAGAGGGAAAGGGAAAACAGCUUUUUGUUUGUAUAUCUUUGUUGCUGCGCGCGGGCUUUCUCUAGUUGUGGCAAGCGGGGGCUACUCUUCGUUGUGGUGCGCACACUUCUCAUUGCGGUGGCUUCUCUUGUUGCGGAGCACGGGCUCUAGGCACGGGCUUAGUAGUUGUGGCACAUGGGCUCAGUAGUUGUGGCUCGCAGGCUCUAGAGCUCAGGCUCAGUAGUUUUGGCACAUGGGCUUAGUUGCUCCGCGGCAUGUGGGAUCUUCCCGGACCAGGGUUCAAACCUGUGUCUCCUGCAUUGGCAGGCGGAUUCUUAACCACUGCGCCACCAGGGAACCCCCCAAAAUUCUUAAAUUAGUGUACAAGGAAAUGUGUAUAAAGAUGUUUACUGCAGUGCUGUUUUUAAUAGCAAAAUUAGAAACAAAUAUCUAACAGAAAGGGAAUAAAGUGUAAUCCUUUAGAAUGAACUAGAUCUACAUGUAUUUACAUGGCUAAGUCUGAAAAGCAAAAAUUUAAGUGAAAUAGACAUUUAUAUGGAUAUAUAUAAAAUGUGUUAUUUAUAUAAAAAUUUAAAACAAAAUAAUGGUGUAUAUACCCACAAUUUGCCCAGGGUGCUGCAGGAUAUUUUGAAAUUUGAAGAAAACAGUGAUACUGGACAUCUGUUGGACCCCACAAGCUACUAGCUUAAGAUAGUUCACUAUUUCAGUAUAAAAACCAUACUAUAAUCCUUUCUAUACUGCCUUGUUUGCAAAGAUGGGUUUUUGGAGGUUGCUGUGAUAGAAAGCAAGUACUUCCUGAAAAUCAGUGUGAAGUCGGAAGUGAGGGUUGGCUUCCAGCUUAAUUCCAAGGUUUGAGACAUUGUGCUGUGCUUAGUCGUGUACCCAACUAGCAGGCAAGUUUGGUUGUUUAAGAAUGAAAUAAAAUAUUUUUCUCUUUCAGCUUAUGUGUAUUUUUAAACAGCUACUAAGUUGUUAGGAAAAAUAGUUAAGUUGUUUGAGCUUAACUACUUAAUAAAUGGAACUGUUAAGUAUUUCUUUUGGUCUACGGGUGCUGUGAAAAAAUUACAGACUUUAAGGUGUCACAAAAUGAGAAAGUCUGGGAACUUGAUAUGUGUUAUUUAGGGUACUUAAAUGAGUAGUAAAAUUAGAAAAAUAUGGAUGGGAAGAAUUAAUACUUACCAGCUUCAGUAUAGUAGUUCUCUCAGGGGAGGGGAAAAUGAGGGAAUUUAGGUAGAAGGGAAGGGUCAUUUAUUAAUUUUGUAACACUUCUUUCCAUUUUGUCUUUAUUUGCUUCUGAUUUUUUAAAAUGUAUUAAAUCUGGGUAAUUUGUCAUAUUGAGAAACAGUAUAGCAUAGCAUUUAGAAAUAGUAUUCUGGAAUCCCAGAUGCACUGCUUACCAGCUCUGUGACCUUAGGCAAGUGACUUAACAUCUCUUAUGUUUCAGUUUUCUUAUCUGUAAAACAGGGGUAAUAACAGUACCUAGCUCAUGAGAUUGUUGUGAGAUUAAAUGAGUUUAUGUGUGUUUGCUAUU
rnacentral:lncRNA from 1 species